CAACCCUCAAGCCUGGCUUGGUGAUGGGGCACUGCCUUCGGUAAGAAGGCAGGCCCUGAAAUUCAGUGGCGAGCUCGCCAGGACCCCGAGCGCAGUAGUUAAACCCUCGCUUUGGAAGGUCUUGGUGCGGCCCUGCCGUUAAACCCCCAACUUCUGAAA
rnacentral:misc_RNA from 1 species